rnacentral:rRNA from 1 species
GAUGAACGCUAGCUACAGGCUUAACACAUGCAAGUCGCGGGGCAGCAUGGGGGUUGCUUGCAAUCCCCGAUGGCGACCGGCGCACGGGUGAGUAACGCGUAUCCAACCUGCCCUUCACCACGGGAUAACCCGGCGAAAGUCGGACUAAUACCGUAUGUUGUCCAUUGACGGCAUCCGAUUUGGGCGAAAGGUUUGGCGGUGAAGGAUGGGGAUGCGUCCGAUUAGCUGGACGGCGGGGUGACGGCCCACCGUGGCGACGAUCGGUAGGGGUUCUGAGAGGAAGGUCCCCCACACUGGAACUGAGACACGGUCCAGACUCCUACGGGAGGCAGCAGUGAGGAAUAUUGGUCAAUGGGCGUAAGCCUGAACCAGCCAAGUAGCGUGCAGGAUGACGGCCCUAUGGGUUGUAAACUGCUUUUAUGCGGGGAUAAAGUGGCCCACGUGUGGGUUUUUGCAGGUACCGCAUGAAUAAGGACCGGCUAAUUCCGUG